AGGGACUGUGUGGGGUGUAGCAGAAAGGAUGCAGACUACUGGCUCUCAGAGGAUUGCUACCUGUGGUCAUGAAUUAAAAUGGAUAUCCAACUGUUCCAUGAGGCAACGAAUGGGGAUUUUACAUAUUAAAUCAGCAUUGUCUGCUGGAGCUCUCUGCUACCUGGGAAGGCUCUGCAUUUGGGCUGUCAAAGCCACAAGCUCAGACAAUGAAGAUGGCAAACUGAAGGUGAACACUUCUUUCAAGUCAGUCACAAGAGGCUUAUGUGUUGGACUGUGUCUAUGGAUAUCCUAUUGCAGAACAUGGCGUUAGAUUAGUGAGAGCAGUCUUCCUCUAUAGGCACAACUUUGCAUCAGACAUUUGAUGGGAGAGGUCCAUCUUUGAAGGGAAGUUUUAUUUAAGUCUGUCCCUGGAUCCACAUCAUCCGUACGUCUGUCUACAGGGCAAAAAACUUCAUCUUUCAUGAGUGCAAUUUCAAACUUGGUGCCAACGAGAGACAUCUUCCCUGGACUCAAAUGCGCGAAGCCUGAACAGGACAUCUUGAGUGUUAGCUUCUCUGGGAUGGCUGCGGUGUGCAGCACAUUUUUGUUAAGGUGUUAUUCAAAGUUUCUGAUUAACAUAAGUUUUUCUUAAAAUUAUACAAAAACAUAAUACCAUGAUUAUGGAAAUAAAAAGCCACCCACAAGCUUACUAUCUUUACAAA
rnacentral:lncRNA from 1 species